AACACUCAAGUUUCCUACCAUUUCCCACUUUAAUUUGUGUAUGUUUUUAAUUCAAAUCACCUUCAAAUGGGUUUCCACACAUUAAAAAGAAGAAAAUCACCUGAGAUGAGAACUCAGCAUCUCUCUCUAAAUAGGGGGUUCUGUUAGCAGCCUUUCCGCGGCUAAUUGGGAAUUAUACGGUGCGUAGUGUACUUUUCACGAUUCCAAGCACAGCCAACUCCAUCUAAACCGUUACGCCAGCACUUAGACUUGCCACAGAUCAAGUUACCAAUUGCUUCUGUUGUGUUCACUUAUUCCCAGAUGCUCUUUGAGGUAAGAGCUGGCUGAUGCUAAACAUGUUUUAGUUUUAAACUGAAAAGACUUUGCAUGUAUAAUUUAGUAUUCCAUAGUAAACAAUAUAAGACAAUUUU
rnacentral:lncRNA from 1 species